UGUCAAAUUCGAAUUUCAAAAAUCUUUUUCACAGGUGGAAGAAAUGUUAUAUCGCGCAGAUUUCUAAUUAGAAAGUGAAAACAAAAAUUAUGUUCGAUAGUGACAUUUUUGUGUUCGGAUCCAAAAUAUUCCCGGAAAUAAAGACAGAUCCGAUAACGAGUUUGCCAUUGGAGUUAUCUUGGAAGAUUUUCUCAUAUUUGGAUGGCUUGUCACUACGGACAGCAAUGAAAUCUCACAAAAGGUGGUGUCAUAUUAUUUUAUCAAACAGAAAAUUAAAAAAGAAACUGAACCACUUCGAAAUGGUAGCAAGAUUCGGCUCUGAUAGACUGGUGCAGUUUUACAAGAAGACUAAGAGAAAAUUAAAGAAGGAAACAACAAAAAAUUAUUUGCCAAUUAAUGAAUGUCAUACAUUUCAAGCGAAAAAAUCAACAUUAUUAUACACGAAGAGACAAGCAGAAAGUAUAAUUGUUGUCCAUACUAAACGAUUCAGGCUAUUUUAAGUAUGUUUUUAUAAUUCACGUUAUCAAAAGGGGUUCUAGAGUUUUCUAAAAUGAUUAAAGAAAUUAUUUCAUAUGAUAACGAUUUUAAAUAAUAUUUAGUAGUAAUUCGCAGAAACAUUAGUUUUAUUUUGACAAAUAAUAAAUCACUAAACGCCUAAUGUA